CUAGACAAACGGGCCUUGAUCCCGUAAAAUCCUAGUUAACAGCUAGGCACCCAAUCU
rnacentral:tRNA from 1 species